rnacentral:rRNA from 1 species
UUUUAUGAGAGUUUGAUCCUGGCUCAGGACGAACGCUGGCGGCGUGCCUAAUACAUGCAAGUCGAACGCCUCUUUUUCCACCGGAGCUUGCUCCAUCGGAAAAAGAGGAGUGGCGAACGGGUGAGUAACACGUGGGUAACCUGCCCAUCAGAAGGGGAUAACACUUGGAAACAGGUGCUAAUACCGUAUAACAAUCGAAACCGCAUGGUUUCGAUUUGAAAGGCGCUUUCGGGUGUCGCUGAUGGAUGGACCCGCGGUGCAUUAGCUAGUUGGUGAGGUAACGGCUCACCAAGGCGACGAUGCAUAGCCGACCUGAGAGGGUGAUCGGCCACAUUGGGACUGAGACACGGCCCAAACUCCUACGGGAGGCAGCAGUAGGGAAUCUUCGGCAAUGGACGAAAGUCUGACCGAGCAACGCCGCGUGAGUGAAGAAGGUUUUCGGAUCGUAAAACUCUGUUGUUAGAGAAGAACAAGGAUGAGAGUAACUGUUCAUCCCUUGACGGUAUCUAACCAGAAAGCCACGGCUAACUACGUGCCAGCAGCCGCGGUAAUACGUAGGUGGCAAGCGUUGUCCGGAUUUAUUGGGCGUAAAGCGAGCGCAGGCGGUUUCUUAAGUCUGAUGUGAAAGCCCCCGGCUCAACCGGGGAGGGUCAUUGGAAACUGGGAGACUUGAGUGCAGAAGAGGAGAGUGGAAUUCCAUGUGUAGCGGUGAAAUGCGUAGAUAUAUGGAGGAACACCAGUGGCGAA